rnacentral:snRNA from 1 species
GUGCUUGCUUCAGCAGCACAUAUGCUAAAAUUAAAAUGAAACAGAGAAGAUGAGCAUGACCCCUGCACAAAGAUGACAUGCAAAUUUAUAAAGCGUCCCUUGUACUU